CACAGGAAAACUAUAAUCUCUUUCUAAGGAAAGAGGAAGCAGUCGCGCAAGGCUCAAGAUUUAUAACAUUUACAAAUGUUCUGAAAAGCUGCUUUGGUUUAUGCAGUGGCAUUCAAAGCUCACUACUUCAUCUAACUGGGACAACCGGAAGAGCCGAAAAUCUUCAAAAUGCACCUGUAUGUUCGCUUCAUGAUGAUUAUGAGUUUACUUCUCGAUUAACAUUGGAUACACGAGGAAAUUAUUUGGAUUACUGACUUUAGAAGAACUGUCUCAUCUGAAAGACGCAGUGGAUACUAAGAACACGAUAAACAGACUGAGAGGAUCAAUGGUAAAUAAAUUUCAACAAUUUUUUCCUCCGUAAUUGAAGAGUAUAACGGAAGAUUGAUUCCAAGAGUGAAAUGAAACAUAUGUGGAAUGGAAAAAGAACACAGUUUCGCCUUCUUGCCAGUGAUAUAAUAAAUCACCAUGCGAAUGGACUAAGCGAAAAACAAUUCUUUGUGCAAAUGCUCGAAAGCAAAGUAUUUACCUUCUUCACAAAGGUACAACUUUGAUACUUCAGAAACUAAAUCGCGAAUUUUCAAAGUUUUCUUCCAACUUCUGUCAAGAUCUGAUGUAUACAAGAGCAGUUACAAGCCUUGGCAUACAUGCACGACUGCAAAAGAAUUAAAAGAUAUGACUUUAAUCUGUA